CCUACGGGUGGCAGCAGUGGGGAAUAUUGGGCAAUGGGCGCAAGCCUGCCCCAGCAAUGCCGCGUGAAGGAAGAAGGCUUUCGGGGUGUAAACUUCUUUGACAGGGGAAGAGCAGAAGACGGUACCCUGAAAACAAGCCACGGCUAACUACGUGCCAGCAGCCGCGGUAAUACGUAGGUGGCAAGCGUUGUCCGGAUUUACUGGGUUUAAAGGGCGUGUAGCCGGGAAGGAAAUUCCGAUGUGAAAUCUGGAGGCUCAACCUCCAAAUUGCAUUUGAAACUGUUUUUCUUGAGUACUGGAGAGGCAGACGGAAUUCCUUUUGUAGCGGUGAAAUGCGUAGAUAUAAGGAGGAACACCAGUGGCGAAGGCGGUCUGCUGGACAGCAACUGACGGUGAGGCGCGAAAGCGUGGGGAGCAAACAGGAUUAGAUACCCUGGUAGUC
rnacentral:rRNA from 1 species